GGAGGCCUCAGCGUCUCCUCUCCUUUGGGAGAACGGAAGGACGCCUGUGGCCUACAGAGCAAACAGAAUGUUGACAGUAAAUUUCUCAACUGGAGCCCAUCUAUUGCUUGUCUCAGGAAAUGCUAAGAGUUAUGUGCUGUGGACUUUUCCCAAGACAUCAAACAAUUCGGACAGAAAAUUUCCUCUAAGCUUUGAUAUUUGAGCAAUAAUACUAUUGCUAAGGAGAAAAGUUCUAAAUCAAUAAAACAAGACAUUGUUUUUUAUGACAGUUAUUUUAAUGAUUAGUUAUGCCAUAAUGGUUAUACAAACAAAGCCAAAGAACACAUAAAAGGAACUUGCUUCCAUAGUAAUCAGGGAAAUGCAAAUCAAAAUUAAAUGAGAUAAUAUACA